AAGAUGAGCUCAACGAGA
rnacentral:snRNA from 1 species